rnacentral:misc_RNA from 1 species
UCUCCGUUGGUGAACCAGCGGAGGGAUCAUUACAGGACUCGCAAGACUCCUACAACCCUGUGAACUUAACUAUAAGCACGUUGCUUCGGCGGGUGUCUCGGAGGGGGUUCUCCCUCCCCGAGACGCUAAACCCGCCGGCAGCCUACCAUACUCUGUCUCUUUGCGUUGGCAUCUCGAGUACAAUCAAACAAGCUAAAACUUUCAACAACGGAUCUCUUGGUUCUG